rnacentral:rRNA from 1 species
AACCGGUGCUAAUACCGCAUAAUGCAGCGGGGCCGCAUGGCCACAGUUGUUAAAGGUUUCGACCGGCUAUGGAUGAGCCUGCGUGCCAUUAGUUAGUUGGUAGGGUAAUGGCCUACCAAGGCGAUGAUGGCUAGGGGGUCUGAGAGGAUGAUCCCCCACACUGGAACUGAGACACGGUCCAGACUCCUACGGGAGGCAGCAGUGAGGAAUCUUGCGCAAUGGAGGAAACUCUGACGCAGCCACGCCGCGUGCCGGAAGACGGCCCUAUGGGUUGUAAACGGCUUUUGUUCGGGAAGAAAGUAUGGGUUUUGAUCUGUAUUGACGGUACCGAUUGAAUAAGCACCGGCUAACUCCGUGCCAGCAGCCGCGGUAAUACGGAGGGUGCAAGCGUUGUCCGGAAUCAUUGGGUGUAAAGGGUGCGUAGGCUGGUGUCUAAGUCUGGGGUGAAAUUUUGCCGCUUAACGGUAACAUGGCCUUGGAUACUGGAUGCCUUGAAUCUGACAGAGGUCGGUGGAAUUCGUAGUGUAGCGGUGAAAUGCAUAGAUAUUACGAAGAACACCAGUGGCGAAGGCGGCCGGCUGGGUCAGUAUUGACGCUGAGGCACGAGAGCGUGGGGAGCGAACAGGAUUAGAUACCCUGGUAGUCCACGCUGUAAACGAUGUAUGCUAGUUGUUGGGCCUUUGGGUUCAGUGACGCAGUUAACGCAGUAAGCAUACCACCUGGGGAGUACGUUCGCAAGAAUGAAACUCAAAGGAAUUGACGGGGGCCCGCACAAGCGGUGGAGCAUGUGGCUUAAUUCGAUGCAACGCGAAGAACCUUACCCGGGCUAAAUCCUGAUUU